GAGGAAUGUAUAGCAAUAGCUAGUUGCAUCAUAGUAGAUAUGAUGCAAGAUCGACUAUGUUGAAUAAAAUUCUAGGUAGAAUUAUGAUAAUGACAUUGUCUGCCUAUGUGUCUUGACCAAAUUACGUGCCAGCAGUCGCGGUAAUACGUAGAAGACUAGUGUUAUUCAUGUUUAAUCGGUUUAAAGGGUACCUAGACGGUAGAUCAAGCUUUCUAAUAAAGGAAAAGGACUAAUUUACUAGAGUUACUUAUGAGGGGGUAUUAAAGUACUGCUGGUGUAGAGAUGAAAUUCUGUCAUACCUCUUUUCAAAAGAAAAACCAUGGCACAGGUAUAGGCGAAGGCAUCCCCUUAUGUGAUAACUGACGUUGAGGGACGAAGGCUUUGUGUAGCGAACAGGAUUAGAUACCCCAGUAGUCGAAGCAGAAAAUGAUGAAUGUCAUAGAUUAGAUAUAUAAGUUUAUUCUAUAAAUGAAAGUGUAAGCAUUCCACCUCAUGAGUAAUUUGGCAACAUUGGAACUGAAAUCAUUAGACCGUUUCUGAAACCAGUAGUGAAGUAUGUUGUUUAAUUUGAUGAUCCGCAAAAAACCUUACCACAAUUUGAAUAUUUAUAUUAUUUAUUGUUUUAUUAUUAAUUUUCUUGAACGUAAAGAUCACGUAAAAGAAAAUAGAAAUUGAUGAUGAUAAUAGUAAGAAAAUUAAUAAAGAGGCAAUAAGGUAUAUUUACAAGCGUUGCACGGCUGUCUUCAGUUAAUGUCGCGAGACUUUGGUUAGUUCCAUUAAAUUAACGUAAACCCUUACUUUAUUUUUAUAUAGAGUAGUUCCCCGCUAUAUUGGAUAUGAU
rnacentral:rRNA from 1 species